rnacentral:rRNA from 1 species
CACAUAGGGGCGAGCGUUGUCCGGAAUUACUGGGCGUAAAGGGUGCGCAGGCUGUUAUGCGAGUCUGCUGUGAAAUGUACCGGCUCAACCGGUGCCUUGCGGCGGAUACUGCAUAGCUGGAGUACUGGAGAGGGAAGUGGAAUUCCCGGUGUAGCGGUGAAAUGCGUAGAUAUUGGGAGGAACACCGGUGGCGAAGGCAGGUCUCUGGGCAGUAACUGACGCUGAGGAGCGAAAGCAUGGGUAGCGAACAGGAUUAGA